rnacentral:rRNA from 1 species
UACGUAGGGUGCAGGCGUUAAUCGGAAUUACUGGGCGUAAAGCGUGCGCAGGCGGUCUUUUAAGUCAGAUGUGAAAUCCCCGGGCUUAACCUGGGAACUGCGUUUGAAACUGGAAGGCUUGAGUGUGGCAGAGGGGGGGUGGAAUUCCACGUGUAGCAGUGAAAUGCGUAGAGAUGUGGAGGAACACCGAUGGCGAAGGCAGCCCCCUGGGCUAACACUGACGCCUCAUGCACGAAAGCGUGGGGAGCAAACAGG